ensembl:snRNA U2 U2 spliceosomal RNA
AUCGCUUCUCGGCUCUUUUGAGCUAAGAUCAAGUGUAGUAUCUGUUCUUCUCAGUUUAAUACCUGGGACGGAAACGAUUCGUUUCCUCUAUGUAUUAAUCGGAUUUUUGAACUUGGGGUAUGGUGCUGGAGCUUGCUCCACCCUGCUCACGGGUUGUCCUGGUAUUGCAGUACCUCCAGGCUCGGCCCACACCCC